GAUGAAGAACGCAGCGAAAUGCGAUAAGUAAUGUGAAUUGCAGAAUUUAGUGAAUCAUCGAAUCUUUGAACGCACAUUGCGCCCGCCAGUAUUCUGGCGGGCAUGCCUGUUCGAGCGUCAUUUCAACCAUCAAGCCCCCGGCUUGUGUUGGGGACCUGCGGCUGCCGCAGGCCCUGAAAAGCAGUGGCGGGCUCGCUGUCACACCGAGCGUAGUAGCAUACAUCUCGCUCUGGGCGUGCUGCGGGUUCCGGCCGUUAAACCACCUUCAUAACCCAAGGUUGACCUCGGAUCAGGUAGGAAGACCCGCUGAACUUAAGCAUAUCAAUAAGCGGAGGA
rnacentral:misc_RNA from 1 species